rnacentral:rRNA from 1 species
AGAGUUUGAUUAUGGCUCAGAACGAACGCUUGCUGCAUGCUUUAUACAUGCAAGUCGAACGGAGGCCCUAGCUUGCUAGGUGUCCUUAGUGGCGCACGGGUGAGUAACACGUGGGAACAUACCUUAUAGUACGGAAUAACUGCGGGAAACUGUAGCUAAUACCGUAUACUCCAGUAAUGGGAAAGAUUUAUUGCUAUAAGAUUGGCCCGCGCAAGAUUAGCUUGUUGGUGAGGUAAAAGCUCACCAAGGCUUCGAUCUUUAGCUGGUUUGAGAGGACGAUCAGCCACACUGGGACUGAGACACGGCCCAGACUCCUACGGGAGGCAGCAGUAGGGAAUAUUGGACAAUGGGGGCAACCCUGAUCCAGCAAUGCAGCGUGAGUGACGAAGGCCUUAGGGUUGUAAAACUCUUUCAUCGGUGAGGAUAAUGACAGUAGCCGAAGAAGAAGGACCGGCUAAUUCCGUGCCAGCAGCCGCGGUAAUUC